ACAUGAUAAGGUUUUCCCACCAGAGGAAGGGGCAGUUCAGAAGGAACGCGCUUACAUGGUAUUAGUCAUCAAGGCAGCUCUUGAGAGGAGCCACAGCCCCUCCCCCACAGCCGCUGCCCUUCUGAAGAAGGCUGAGAGUCCCAAGCACCAGAAGGAUUCCAGACUACAGUGAAUUAAUUUUGUUUAUGGAGAUCCUUUUAUGAACACCUAGACUUUGGCACAUGAAAUGCUCCACUCCCAAGAAGGCAGGACACGAAUGAGAGACAAGGGGAGCUACUGCAAAACACAGCAAACAGUGGCAGAUGCUGAGUGAAACGGUGGCUCACAGUGACAGAGCAGUGUGUGGAGCACUUCAGGGACUUCGCGUCUUGGUUCUCCAGCAUGCUUCUCAGCAGUGAACAUCUCCAAAUUGAUAGCUCUGUGGAUGAGGAAGCCAACAUAGAAGGAGCACCCUCUCGGGGUCAUAGGUCAAAGGACAACCUGGGCCAAUAGAAAGCCAGGGCUCUUCUGCAGCCAAUUCCCUUUCCUACCUUCCCCUUCCUGAGCCCUGUAAAGCACUCCUUUCAGUAUCAUCGAAGUGACCCUGGAGGUUGUCAGGGGUGCUGCGGACAGAGUGGGAGCAGGACAUGUCCUGGCAGCUAGGCUCAGAGUCCCACACAACAAGACCUAUGCAGAAAGGGUUACUCGAAACGAAAAGUAGAAAGGCAAUAGCUGCUUAGCCCCACAUUUUAGCUUGUUUGUUUCAGAUGUAUUACUUUCCUCACUAAGUUCUAAUGGAAAGAGACAUCGCUGAACUUUUCUCUCAAAUCCCUUUAGAAGUCCAACAUUCCAUGUAUGGAGGGUCUCAAAACAGAGGCAACGCCUCUCCUUGUUGGAGGGUCUGAAAUAAACAGAGAUUUUUUUUUUAUCACUUGUUUAACUUAGUCCAGAGAGAUUUUUUUUCUAAUGACAAAGACUUCAUUGGCUCAUUGUUUUAUUUCAGGGUCAGAGCAAAUUCCUACUUAGUACCCACAAGGCUUGCUAGAAGGGGAUCUUAACAGGGGGUAUGCAAAUACGGUGCAGAGAUUAAUAGUAAGACACAGCUCUGAGCCACACAAGAUGAAAUAUGGUGACAGAUAAUAUAUUUCAGUUUGAAUUUUCAACAUGAUAUAAAUGUUCUUAAUUAAUAUUAAAACAACAAUUAAUGAAAAAUUACCCUAUUGAGUUGAUAAAUGAAGCAGUGUGGUUUUCAAGGGCAUUAGAUUUUUUCCCCCUCUCUGAUUCCAAAUGCAAUCCAGAUUAGGAUCCAGUCAUGAAUUUCAGUAAGUAUCCAAGGGAUCGGGGAUUACCUGCUCUGAUGCCCUUGUGAACCCUGUGGGAGUUUGCCCUCCCAUACUGACAGAGUCUAUCCUACAUUCCCAUCUCCUCGUCCCUCCUUUCUCCUUUUCCUUAUCCCUCUCUCUCAUGAGAGUGCACACCAUCAGCACAUAGCAAAUAGUCAAUAAAUUAUCAAUAUUGU